AUAAAAAAAUAUACACGAGGUCAACGCCGCCAUGAUAACGGACAUUAAACAUAAUCGAUAAAAUGGCACCGGCAUGGAAAACGAGGAAACACAAAAUAACAGGAAAGGAGUUAGAAUCAAGGGAGAGGAGCCCAUCAUGGGCCCGAGAGAGCCAAGGAAGCUCUCAGUCACCUCACUUAGGAAGUGGCCGAGAGGCUCUAUGGCCCUCCCGGGCCAUGAUAGCCUCCUCGACCUCUAUCCUGAUCUUUUUCCGUCAUGCUAACAUAUAAUGCAUCAUAACUCCAAGGGGUUCGACCUAGUAGUUAAUGUGCACCCAAGUUUGUACCGAGACUCGGGUUCGAAUCCCCUUGGGGCCACCGAAGCGCAUUUGGCGUAAUUACCCGCUCCGUGUGCCGCCGGGGGUUCACGGAGCCCAGGGGAUUAGUCGGGCGAAGCCCGGACACCCCGGGUUAGCAAAAAUAAAUAAAUAAAUAAAACAUAUAAUGCAUCAUCACAUGAUCACUCUUAAGAGAAUCACAAUAGAAAGUAAGUAAUAUGCGUCAAAUUGGUCAUGAACCACCUUAUCACCCCACAAAAUUCGAAAAAAACUAAAGCUCCAAUUUCUCUAAGGGUUUGAGGAGAUUAUACCAGCUCCGAGGUAGGUAGAAACAAGUCAAAAAAUAGGCUGGAGGAGUGCGGGACAGCACAACACAGUGCUGGACAGAGAGUGAAACCGCAAUGGAGCUCUUGGGGUCCUUUCGGGUGGCUGUGAAGCUGCAGCUGGUCAAGGGACUUCCGGGGGCUUCGACCUACAAAAUAAGGUAAAAAAAAAAAAAGAGGAAAGAGAGAGAGGAAGGGCGCUGGAACGCUCAAGUGUGUUGGUGACCCGAGUGACUCGAUGAGAGGAGCCACGAGUGAGGGAACUGGACGGGUGAGGGGAGACCGCUGCGGUGGCUGUGCUCAGUGGCUCGAGGUAGCUAAGGGACCCACGGUGAGGGCUGGAAGUAGUGCAUGGCUGGAGGGAUUGCGGGCUGACCCACACAGAGUGUAACUCAAGAGAAAAGGGGAGAGACCCAAGAGGUGGCCUCAGGUGUGGCAUGUCAAGGGAUGGGAGGUCGGGCCCUUGGUCCAUGGCUCUCCUAGCCACGGGAAGGAUGUGAACCGCGGGUAGUUCUCCUGCUCAUGUGUGCACGACUCAACAAAGUCGUGGAGGAAGGAAACUCAUCGAGAAACCAAGAAAACUCGAGGGAGGCGCCACUGAUCAGAGCUGGUGUGGGCUGAUGGAGACUUUAAGUGGAAAAAUGAACGUCGCCAAUGGACUUGAGAGGUUGAACACGUGUGGGAUAUGUGGUUUGUUUGAAGUUCGGGUUGGGUAGGGAGGCGGUUGCUAAAAAACCGGGAUGGUUUUCAGUUAAAUGGGAGUGGUUUCAGCCAUGGAAGGCUGCUGCUGCUGGUGGCCGAAUUGAAGAGUUGAGAGAGAGAGAGCUUGAGAGUUUGAGAGAAUUGAGAGCAAAUGAGAGUUUAGAGAGAGAGUGAAGUCUAGAGAGUGAAAGUGUUCUUGCUUGCAAUUUGCUUUUGUAUGUUCUUAAGAAUGCAAAUGAAAUCCAUUGAAGAGUCGGCCAUGGAGGAGCUGCUGCCGAAUUCAAAGGGGCAAGAUCCACUGGAGUAUGAUUUGCUGGACUAUGAUUCUCUCUGGUCGCGAUCAUGUGAUGCACUGGAGUCAUCCAUGCUGCCUGCCCGGUCCCUACUUCAACUCUCGCCAAUCCAGAGGCAAAGUCACACAAAAACAACCAGCAUUCUCUUAUAUAUAUAUAUAUGGUUUCAGUGAGACAAUGGCAUCUCAUGAUCGUUAGGCGAACGAGAUGGAGAAAUGAUGGAAAUGCUUGACCCAGCCGUAAAAGAGGACACUCAAUGUUCUCAGGGCAUGCUACGAAGCAAAAGUUAGGCGGGUUAUCUACAUCUCCUCUGUUUCUGCUGUUGGAAUGAACUCGAAAUGGCCUAAUGGCCGGGCGAAGGAUGAGAAUUGCUGGUCUGACAACGAAUACUGCAAUGCCACUGCGCCUAUAUUGAACUUCAGCACGAUGCUCCUCCUCAAGUUUCUGAAGGGCAUAUAUAUUCAGAUCGAGCAAGGUAGUUAUGCAAGAACCAAGUCGAUCAUGCACAUCAAGACCGAAGAUUUGGUGAAAAACUGAGGAGUCUGUAUCCAAACUUUAGUUACUUGGAGAAGUUUCUCUACUCGAUAAGUUUUGUUGAGAGUCAACACAACUACUCGACAAUCUCAGAGAAGCUGCAGAAGCUGGGCUGGACUUACCGGUCACUCGAGGAAGCUCUCAUGGACUCUAUCGAGAGCUAUAAGGAGGCGGUGCUGCUCGAUUAGUUAUGGAACUUCUCUAGUCUGCUCUAGUCUGCUCCGAAGUGCCAGAAUUUCUUUCACUCUUCUGAUUGUGUUGCACUGAUAAUUAAGACACAGUUCAAAUGUUCUUAUGAAAGAUGUCCGAUUAUGGUCUCUUUUGAUGAUUCUUCAUCGCUAAUGAUUUGAAAAAUCAGCCAAAGACAGUUCCGAAGUA